CUGCUGCUGGGGUUGCUGCAAACGCCGCUGGCGUCCUCCGGAAAACUUCCUUCUGUCAAUAUUUGAAUUUUCAAAGCCGUGCUAAAUAGCUGCCGUGAUGUUUCUCUUUGAAAGACCAAGAAAUAGCUACAGUGGUCCCACUCAAUAUCCCUUCUCUGCCAUCGCUCGGUGCAGCUGUUCCAGAAAUUUUAAUGUUCUGCAGACCACCGGGGAGCUUCAAACAGGAGCGGGGCUGGCUGUGAGGCUGGUGGCCUGCCUGCUGCAGGAAGGGAAGGGGAAAGGAGGAGAAAGAACCUGCUGUCUUGGCCUGUCCAGGAUGAACCCGUACCACAGUGGCUGCAGUCUCGGUGAAGACGCUCUUCUUUGGGGCACGUGAUCUUCCUCGCUUUCCCCUUGAGAGCUGUCAGUGGAAGAGAUGUCCUUCUCCUCUGCCUCUGGAAGCAGCUGGCGGAGGUCCCAGAGCCUGGCCUUCCAUUGGGUCGCUGUCCUUAUCCCAUUACAUCACCUGCCACCAUCGCAUUCCAGCUCUUCCAGCUUCCUUCAAAUUGAAAAAGCAGUCACGCGGUUUAGCAGGUCAUCCUAUAGAAAAGUCCUUGAAAUGGGCGAUGGCAAGGAAGGCUGACCACUGAGCAGCCACUCAGCCCAGCCCACAGGCCAGCUUCUGCUUCACCGUAACCUCAUGAGCUGAGAGAUGCUGAGCUGGGGAGGUGAUGCUGACCUGGGGAGUCCGGGUCUCUGCUCUCAGCCUCUGGGCUUGGCUGCUCAUGGGGCUUACGACAGGUUUGUAAUGGAAAGUAACAGCACACUGGUUCCCUGUGCAGGAGAAACAUGAAAACCUUGAGCUGUGUGGGAAAUCGGACCCUCAGAUACAUUCGGACAUCUGGGUUUCCACCUUGUACUCUCAGAGCUUGAGCUGGAUUCUGGUUGGAACACCGCUGCUGUCAGCAGUGCUGACCUGCGUGGCCAGCAGCUCGUCCCUGCUGCCACAACGGUUAUGCAGCCGGUUGUUCACUUGACAACAGCCUGGGCAGCGGCACACUACUGGCACAGCCUGCGGACUGCUAUAGGGAUGGGAGGACAAACAGUGACAAUUGUCUCCCGGAUUUACUGCGUCGAAGCUGUGCCGCGGCCGCCUUCUGAUCAGAAGUGGGUAGAUAAAUCUGCUCCGUGUUCUGCAGUGACUGCCUGCUGCCCUGAAGGAAGCGUGUCAUGUCUGCAAGGAAGCGUUUCAACCUGCAGCCGUGGAGUACGAACAGCAUCAAUCACUCCUUUCCAACAAAGGUUGGGUGAGUUUGGGUGGGCUCCCCUCUCACCAGGAGGUUUGCUGGUAGCCUUUAGCAUGAAAGCAGCCCUGGAACCUCAGCAGUCUCACAAUGAGUCAGGUUAGGGUCAAGAUUAAAUUACUCCAGGAGAAAAAAAAACCCACGCACAAAGUAACAGUCCCUGCAGUCAGUUCUCAGCCUGCCUGACCUCUCUUAAAAGCACUGAGCAUGCUUUCAAGGAGCUGGCUUGAAGAACGCAGCACUUCCGUGCUGUGAAUCAGAUAAGAGUUGUGCUGAUAAAAGGAAAAAAAAAAAUUGCCAUGACUGCUGACAGCCUAAGCAGGCGAUAGGAGGAACCUCUGGGGCCUCUGUGCAGUGUACUGGCUUUGCUCUGUAGUCAGAUAUGGUUUGAAUAUCUUUAUUUGGGUUAAUAGUGACGUACAGGACAGGAAGGGAAGCAAAGAUAUAGAAACCCACUCAGCCUGACUGGCGUGCUGUUGAGGCACGGUGACUCCUUGCAGCCUCUCGAGUGGAGGGGAUUCAGUUUGUCUUGAGAAACUUCCAAGAGUACUCUUGUUUCAGCCCAGUCUAUCUAACACUUCUUUUGUUUCUAGCAAUUAAAGCAGGCUGCUCCUCUACUGUGGCACCCUCUUGCUUUUCUUCCUUUUUCCCAGGUUGUGCUGAGCCCUAAUCUUUUAAAUAAGACCUACUGUAACAUGCACAGAAUGUUUCCCAUGUUGGAUUCUACCUUACAAGCACUGAUUACGCCCACUGAUGCUUCAUGAGACAACCAAGCCAGACUUGUGCCUCGAUUUGAAAAUACUCUGACACAAUAAAAGAAGACUUCUUAAU
ensembl:lncRNA